rnacentral:tRNA from 4 species
CGGGGCGUGGCGCAGCCUGGUAGCGCACCUGCUUUGGGAGCAGGGGGUCGCCGGUUCAAAUCCGGCCGCCCCGA